rnacentral:rRNA from 1 species
UACAGAGGGGGCAAGCGUUGUUCGGAAUUACUGGGCGUAAAGGGCGCGUAGGCGGCCUAUUAAGUCGGACGUGAAAUCCCUCGGCUCAACCGGGGAACUGCGUCCGAUACUGGUGGGCUUGAGUUCGGGAGAGGGAUGUGGAAUUCCAGGUGUAGCGGUGAAAUGCGUAGAUAUCUGGAGGAACACCGGUGGCGAAGGCGGCAUCCUGGACCGACACUGACGCUCAUGCACGAAAGCGUGGGGAGCAAACAGG